GAACGCCCCUUCGGGGGAGUGGCGGACGGGUGAGUAACGCGUGGGAACGUGCCCUUUGGUUCGGAACAACACAGGGAAACUUGUGCUAAUACCGAAUGUGCCCUUCGGGGGAAAGAUUUAUCGCCAUUGGAGCGGCCCGCGUUGGAUUAGCUAGUUGGUGGGGUAAAGGCCCACCAAGGCUACGAUCCAUAGCUGGUCUGAGAGGAUGAUCAGCCACACUGGGACUGAGACACGGCCCAGACUCCUACGGGAGGCAGCAGUAGGGAAUCUUGCGCAAUGGGCGAAAGCCUGACGCAGCGACGCCGCGUGGGGGAUGAAGCUUCUCGGAGUGUANACCCCUUUCGACCCGGACGAACCCCCGCNAGGGAUGACGGGUACGGGUAUAAUAAACCCCGCUACUAUACAUG
rnacentral:rRNA from 1 species